UGAAAAUGGUGACAAAUAUGAAGAAGAAGAGGCUUUCUUUUGCAAUGGAGAGGAAUGUUUUGAAACUGAAGAUGAAUGUGGUUCAUCGGACGUCUAUAUGGAAGACGAUGAUGAUGAUGA